rnacentral:rRNA from 1 species
UACGAAGGGGGCUAGCGUUGCUCGGAAUCACUGGGCGUAAAGGGUGCGUAGGCGGGUCUUUAAGUCAGGGGUGAAAUCCUGGAGCUCAACUCCAGAACUGCCUUUGAUACUGAGGAUCUUGAGUAUGGGAGAGGUGAGUGGAACUGCGAGUGUAGAGGUGAAAUUCGUAGAUAUUCGGAAGAACACCAGUGGCGAAGGCGGCUCACUGGUCCGGUACUGACGCUGAGGUGCGAAAGCGUGGGGAGCAAACAGG